GUGUCCCUUAUAUUGUCGAACUUCCGGUGUUCGUUUGAGUCAAACUACGUGUAUCUCGAAAUAUUUCUCUGGUCCGGUUGACUUCGACAUAACGAGAGUCGACUGUAUAUAUUUUUCAUUGAUUUUCUCUUCAACUUCUUUGACUAAGUGUUUCAAAUCAAUGAAAUCUUUGUAACUUGCUGUCUAUAACUGCUGGUUUAAUAACAAGUUCUGGAAUUAUGUCCCUUUGUUUACUGAUGGACACACUUGUUCAAUCUUUGACAAUUUUUACAAAUUCUUAAAAUAAAAGAUCUGAUUAAAUGCAGAUUCUUAUUUUAAAUUGAGAUGAAUCUACCCCAGUAAAUAGACAUGAAGGGUUUCUAGUAAACUCUUCCAAAAUCAAG
rnacentral:lncRNA from 1 species